AUUUUCUCACAACAUGCCUCUUCAAUCUUCCUUGACUGAGGAUUGUACUUAGAGGAGGAGCCUUUCUCCUUCAUGUUAGAUUCAAGGCCUGACCUGAGCUCAUUUCUGCAUUAGCUGAUGACGUAAUUAAUUGACUCUAUUAUGUAUACAUGGGAUAGACUUUUAUUUCAUAGGUUCACAAAUAAUACUAAAAUGGGGUUUUAAAGAUAAAUGGAAUAGAUCUUCAAUUAAACCCUAUGGUCCUUUCCUUGGAUAGUCACAAAGAAGAUGGUGAUUAUUUCCCAGUUAUACCAUAGGCUACAUUGUGGCAUUUUGAAUAAUUCUUGGUCUCUGUCUUGACAGAAUCGUGUAUUAUUGUCAGGAGAGAGUCAUCUGCAUGCUGCUGCUUUUUUGGACAUGGCAGGUGUCUCUCAGGUUCCUGCUCUGAUUUCUCAUCACUUGCGCUCAUCACUGUGGGCAUGGCUGACCGUCCCAGCUUUGCCAGAUCAGCUGGUGGAAACCACGACCACUGGAAAUCCUCCUAUUUCAUUUGAUACAGACCCUCAAGCAGAAUAGAUGGGGACUGUUACUCAAGAGUUCAGCUCAGUGACCACUUCCUGUAGGCAGUGUUCCUCCGUUACCGCCGGACUCCACGGAGACAUGGCAGUCGGCUUGAGCCCUGGCAGCGGGGUGCAGUAAAACCACAU